rnacentral:tRNA from 1 species
GAGGGUAUAGCCAAAUGGUAGUGCAUGCUUAGCAUGCAUGAGGUCCUAGGUUCAAUCCCCAGUACCUCCA